rnacentral:sRNA from 2 species
AUCUGAGGUCUGACGAGGAUGAGAACCUCCGGGGGCAAGAGGUUCGACCCGAGCGAAGCGAGAGAACGUUGCGCCAGCAACGGCCCGCAGUGGCAAGUCAUCCUCUGUCACCGGCA